rnacentral:rRNA from 1 species
CUACGCUAGGUAGUGGCCUGAUAGUCGACGGCGAAGUGAAGCGGCAAAAGCUCAAAUUUGAAAUCUGGCGUCUUCGGCGUCCGAGUUGUAAUUUGAAGAAGGCUACUUUGGGGCUGGAGUUUGUCUAAGUUCCUUGGAACAGGACGUCACAGAGGGUGAGAAUCCCGUGAGAUAAGCUUCCCAGUUCUAUGUAAAGUGCUUUCGAAGAGUCGAGUUGUUUGGGAAUGCAGCUCUAAGUGGGUGGUAAAUUCCAUCUAAAGCUAAAUAUUGGCGAGAGACCGAUAGCGAACAAGUACAGUGAUGGAAAGAUGAAAAGAACUUUGAAAAGAGAGUGAAAAAGUACGUGAAAUUGUUGAAAGGGAAGGGCUUGAGAUCAGACAUGGUAUUUUGUAAACCUUCUCUCUCGUGGAGGGGGCCCCUUGCAGCUUACUGGGCCAGCAUCAGUUUGGGCGGUAGGAUAAUGACUAAGGAAUGUGACUUGCCUUCGGGGAAGUGUUAUAGCCUUGGUUGAUACUGCCAGCCUAGACUGAGGACCGCGUCUUUGACAAGGAUGUUGGCAUAAUGAUCUUAAGCCACCCGUCUUAAC